UACGUAGGGGGCAAGCGUUGUCCGGAAUUAUUGGGCGUAAAGAGCGUGUAGGCGGUCCGAUAAGUCCGUUCUAAAAGCCCGGGGCUCAACCCCGGGAGGCGGGCGGAUACUGUCGGGCUAGAGUCCGGAAGAGGCAAGUGGAAUUCCUGGUGUAGCGGUGAAAUGCGCAGAUAUCAGGAGGAACACCGAUGGCGAAGGCAGCUUGCUGGGACGGUACUGACGCUGAGACGCGAAAGCGUGGGGAGCAAACAGG
rnacentral:rRNA from 1 species